rnacentral:sRNA from 1 species
AAAACACAUACGGAGUACACUCUUCUGGAUAACUCUUAGCGCUAAUUUCUAAUUUCUCACUAAUUAUAACUGGAGCUCAUCCUCCUUGGUUGAAGAUAAUACUUCUAGAAAGUCGAGUUAAAAUCUUACUAGAAGUGCUUUUAGUGGGUGCCAUGAAGAUUUUGGCAAGAAAAGAACAACUCUGCUUUAGAAGCCAAAAAUAAAGCUGCGGGAGGGUUUGUUGAACAGAAUGAACUUUGACAAGUAACUAGCUGAUGGCUUGUAUAUAGUGGAAUGUUAUUAUUGGUUGCGGUCUACAUUGUGUCUUCGGGCAAGUCUGACAAGGAAAAUACGAAAUUAAAAAGGCUAUUGAGAUGAAAAAUUAUAUGAGUUUGACUUAGUGAAGAAUAGGUAGAUAGAUAAUGAAAAGGAAGGAGACAUAAUGAAAC